AGAGUUUGAUCAUGGCUCAGAAUGAACGCUGGCGGCGUGCCUAACACAUGCAAGUCGAGCGAGAAAAUCCCUUCGGGGAUGAGUAAAGCGGCGGACGGGUGAGUAACACGUAAGAAUCUGCCCUGUAGUGAAGAAUACCUUCGAGAAAUUGAAGUUAAUACUGCAUAAUCCCUUUUGGGGAAAGACGUCUUUUAUGUCGUCGCUAUGGGAUGAGCUUGCGGACUAUCAGCUUGUUGGUGAGGUAAAGGCUUACCAAGGCUAUGACGGUUAACCGGCCUGAGAGGGUGUACGGUCACACAGGCACUGAGAUACGGGCCUGACUCCUACGGGAGGCAGCAGUGGGGAAUAUUGCGCAAUGGGCGAAAGCCUGACGCAGCGACGCCGCGUGGAGGAUGAAGGUCUUCGGAUUGUAAACUCCUGUCAGAUGGGAAGAAAAGGUUUGUUUUUAAUAGAGACGAAUUAUGACGGUACCAUCAGAGGAAGCACCGGCUAACUUCGUGCCAGCAGCCGCGGUAAUACGAAGGGUGCGAGCGUUAUUCGGAAUCACUGGGCGUAAAGGGUGCGUAGACGGUGUGUUAAGUUUGUCGUUAAAGACUCCAGCCUAACUGGAGGGUCGCGAUGAAAACUGGCAUGCUAGAGGAUGAGAGAGAGAAGUGGAAUUCCCGGAGUAGCGGUAAAAUGCGUGGAUCUCGGGAGGAACACCAAUGGCGAAGGCAGCUUCUUGGCUCAUUUCUGACGUUGAGGCACGAAAGCGUGGGGAGCGAACAGGAUUAGAUACCCUAGUAGUCC
rnacentral:rRNA from 1 species